UUAAGCGACUAAGCGUACACGGUGGAUGCCCUGGCAGUCAGAGGCGAUGAAGGACGUGCUAAUCUGCGAUAAGCGUCGGUAAGGUGAUAUGAACCGUUAUAACCGGCGAUUUCCGAAUGGGGAAACCCAGUGUGUUUCGACACACUAUCAUUAACUGAAUCCAUAGGUUAAUGAGGCGAACCGGGGGAACUGAAACAUCUAAGUACCCCGAGGAAAAGAAAUCAACCGAGAUUCCCCCAGUAGCGGCGAGCGAACGGGGAGCAGCCCAGAGCCUGAAUCAGUGUGUGUGUUAGUGGAAGCGUCUGGAAAGGCGCGCGAUACAGGGUGACAGCCCCGUACACAAAAAUGCACAUGCUGUGAGCUCGAUGAGUAGGGCGGGACACGUGGUAUCCUGUCUGAAUAUGGGGGGACCAUCCUCCAAGGCUAAAUACUCCUGACUGACCGAUAGUGAACCAGUACCGUGAGGGAAAGGCGAAAAGAACCCCGGCGAGGGGAGUGAAAAAGAACCUGAAACCGUGUACGUACAAGCAGUGGGAGCCUCUUUUAUGGGGUGACUGCGUACCUUUUGUAUAAUGGGUCAGCGACUUAUAUUCUGUAGCAAGGUUAACCGAAUAGGGGAGCCGAAGGGAAACCGAGUCUUAACUGGGCGUUAAGUUGCAGGGUAUAGACCCGAAACCCGGUGAUCUAGCCAUGGGCAGGUUGAAGGUUGGGUAACACUAACUGGAGGACCGAACCGACUAAUGUUGAAAAAUUAGCGGAUGACUUGUGGCUGGGGGUGAAAGGCCAAUCAAACCGGGAGAUAGCUGGUUCUCCCCGAAAGCUAUUUAGGUAGCGCCUCGUGAAUUCAUCUCCGGGGGUAGAGCACUGUUUCGGCAAGGGGGUCAUCCCGACUUACCAACCCGAUGCAAACUGCGAAUACCGGAGAAUGUUAUCACGGGAGACACACGGCGGGUGCUAACGUCCGUCGUGAAGAGGGAAACAACCCAGACCGCCAGCUAAGGUCCCAAAGUCAUGGUUAAGUGGGAAACGAUGUGGGAAGGCCCAGACAGCCAGGAUGUUGGCUUAGAAGCAGCCAUCAUUUAAAGAAAGCGUAAUAGCUCACUGGUCGAGUCGGCCUGCGCGGAAGAUGUAACGGGGCUAAACCAUGCACCGAAGCUGCGGCAGCGACGCUGAUGCGUUGUUGGGUAGGGGAGCGUUCUGUAAGCCUGUGAAGGUGUGCUGUGAGGCAUGCUGGAGGUAUCAGAAGUGCGAAUGCUGACAUAAGUAACGAUAAAGCGGGUGAAAAGCCCGCUCGCCGGAAGACCAAGGGUUCCUGUCCAACGUUAAUCGGGGCAGGGUGAGUCGACCCCUAAGGCGAGGCCGAAAGGCGUAGUCGAUGGGAAACAGGUUAAUAUUCCUGUACUUGGUGUUACUGCGAAGGGGGGACGGAGAAGGCUAUGUUGGCCGGGCGACGGUUGUCCCGGUUUAAGCGUGUAGGCUGGUUUUCCAGGCAAAUCCGGAAAAUCAAGGCUGAGGCGUGAUGACGAGGCACUACGGUGCUGAAGCAACAAAUGCCCUGCUUCCAGGAAAAGCCUCUAAGCAUCAGGUAACAUCAAAUCGUACCCCAAACCGACACAGGUGGUCAGGUAGAGAAUACCAAGGCGCUUGAGAGAACUCGGGUGAAGGAACUAGGCAAAAUGGUGCCGUAACUUCGGGAGAAGGCACGCUGAUAUGUAGGUGAAGUCCCUUGCGGAUGGAGCUGAAAUCAGUCGAAGAUACCAGCUGGCUGCAACUGUUUAUUAAAAACACAGCACUGUGCAAACACGAAAGUGGACGUAUACGGUGUGACGCCUGCCCGGUGCCGGAAGGUUAAUUGAUGGGGUCAGCGCAAGCGAAGCUCUUGAUCGAAGCCCCGGUAAACGGCGGCCGUAACUAUAACGGUCCUAAGGUAGCGAAAUUCCUUGUCGGGUAAGUUCCGACCUGCACGAAUGGCGUAAUGAUGGCCAGGCUGUCUCCACCCGAGACUCAGUGAAAUUGAACUCGCUGUGAAGAUGCAGUGUACCCGCGGCAAGACGGAAAGACCCCGUGAACCUUUACUAUAGCUUGACACUGAACAUUGAGCCUUGAUGUGUAGGAUAGGUGGGAGGCUUAGAAGUGUGGACGCCAGUCUGCAUGGAGCCGACCUUGAAAUACCACCCUUUAAUGUUUGAUGUUCUAACGUUGACCCGUAAUCCGGGUUGCGGACAGUGUCUGGUGGGUAGUUUGACUGGGGCGGUCUCCUCCUAAAGAGUAACGGAGGAGCACGAAGGUUGGCUAAUCCUGGUCGGACAUCAGGAGGUUAGUGCAAUGGCAUAAGCCAGCUUGACUGCGAGCGUGACGGCGCGAGCAGGUGCGAAAGCAGGUCAUAGUGAUCCGGUGGUUCUGAAUGGAAGGGCCAUCGCUCAACGGAUAAAAGGUACUCCGGGGAUAACAGGCUGAUACCGCCCAAGAGUUCAUAUCGACGGCGGUGUUUGGCACCUCGAUGUCGGCUCAUCACAUCCUGGGGCUGAAGUAGGUCCCAAGGGUAUGGCUGUUCGCCAUUUAAAGUGGUACGCGAGCUGGGUUUAGAACGUCGUGAGACAGUUCGGUCCCUAUCUGCCGUGGGCGCUGGAGAACUGAGGGGGGCUGCUCCUAGUACGAGAGGACCGGAGUGGACGCAUCACUGGUGUUCGGGUUGUCAUGCCAAUGGCACUGCCCGGUAGCUAAAUGCGGAAGAGAUAAGUGCUGAAAGCAUCUAAGCACGAAACUUGCCCCGAGAUGAGUUCUCCCUGACUCCUUGA
rnacentral:rRNA from 1 species